GUUUAUAACUAUACCACCCUGAAUGCAUCCAGUCUUGUCUGAUCUUGGAAGCUAAGCAGGAUUGGGGCUGGUUAGUACUUGGAAAGGAAAAUGGGUGAAUGAAUCGUAUUGUAUUCA
rfam:Ovis aries breed Texel chromosome 15, whole genome shotgun sequence.